GACAGAGGGGGCAAGCGUUGCUCGGAAUUACUGGGCGUAAAGGGCGCGUAGGCGGGAUGGCAAGUCGGUCGUGAAAUCCCUCGGCUCAACCGAGGAACGUCGAUCGAUACUGCUGUUCUUGAGGAUUGCAGAGGAGACUGGAAUUCCCGGUGUAGCGGUGAAAUGUGUAGAGAUCGGGAGGAACACCAGCGGCGAAGGCGGCAUC
rnacentral:rRNA from 1 species